GUUGUGAAGAUCGCUGCUAAAAAAUGAAACUGACUGUUCAAUGUAUGUGGUACUAAGUUUAACUCUUGGUCAACUUGAGCUUUAAACCUACAAACUUACAGCUUCCAGUGCAGAUUGUCAAACAUUAUAUUAUUAAUACAACACUUACUGUUGUACAGUAUGUCUCUUCUCAAGAGCAUCUCCAUUUAAUCAUCCAACUUUGAAUAGGAAGUGAAUUAUAAGAGAAGAGAUGCAUAUAUAUGCAUCGUAAUUCGCAGGAACUAAUUCUUGUGUGACAUCACAUCUAUGACAAACACAGUCAGAACAAUUCAACAGAAAGCAUGUGACAUUAUGCCUGUGUUUGUAUGUGUUUGUAACAAGGGACAAAAGUCACAAAGCAUCACAAAAUUGAAAUUCGAGGCAGCGUAUAUGCAACAAAUUUUCACCGACUCGAGUCUAAAAGUAAAAUGAGGGAUUUCAUAGGAUUUAAUCACACAUCACACGAUCAGAGCAUUGCAUGAGAUGUGUUGUCAUCAACAGUGAUUAUUAGUACCGGCAUCCCAAGCACCUCAGAUUUACCUACAGCCCGUUAAGAGUCUAAGCAUUUGUCACAUGUUCACUCAGGGAAACAUCCACGAGCUCGACAUGUCAUACUUUUUAUCAGAGCAUAAUCAUCCACAAAGAAGAUAAGCAAUUUUACGUCUUGGGUUAAAUGAAAGUGCUUGUAAGAUUUGUGUGUGUGAUAUCGACACAUUUCCUUGUGACUAAGCAGUUACAGGCAUAUAAAAGAUGGAAAGUUUUGAGUGAUUUGACUGAAAACGUAUCAUACUCUGAAGAGUUUGCUCUAGCACCGAGAGUUACUGUGACUACUGUGAAUUUUCAUCAUGGAUCCAAAAACAGGACUUCUGAUUUGGUGUUUUUUAGGGAUGAUCCUGGCAAAGACAAAUGGAGACUGUAAUUUUCAAUCCCUCAUAAAACGAACCAAAUUUGAAAUGAAACAAAUAUUGGGCGCUUUUCACAAAAAUCAUACUGAAAAUCACAGACCAUGGCCCGAACCAAUUCCAGAACUUGACUUGAAGAACUUGACCACUGAAGAGAAAAGACACAGAGCUCAAUGCGGACUUCACUACAUGCAAGAUGCAGUUGAGC